UUUAAAUUUGCACCCUAGACCCAACUCCUCUCUCUCUCACACACUCAUCACGUGAUUUCUCUCACGCCCUUCACUCUCAUUCUCUAAUUUCACGAUACACAACUCCACAACCACAAGCACUCUCAGUCUCUCACCUAGGUCUGGUCACCACCACGCCGUCUCACCGGCCACCACCACGCCGUCCGCCGCACCACCAUGCCGUCCGCCACACCACCACUGUCCAGCCGUGCCUCUGGCUCUGCGGUUCUACUUCUACAGUUUCAUAUGUUUCUCAAUUUGCAAUAAGCCAAUAACACUUCCCAGUUCCCAGUGAAACUAUUGAGUGCAUCUAUCAAAUGGUAAGUAUCUUGAAUUUUCCCAAGGUGUCAUGGCUCUUGUCUGCUACUUGUUUCUGCUUCAGGUCCCUGUUUUGCUCCAAGUUGAAUUCGUGGAAGUUGGCUUUGUGUUUUGAUAAUUGGGUGUGCGUUGGAGUUUUAGAUUGAGGAUAUAUUGAUCCAAUUGUGUUAAGGUUGUCAUGUUGUGUGGAUUGAGAACCUUUGCUAUUUUUUUUUUGGGUCCUUUUGUCUGUUGCAUAUAUAGCAGUUUAGGCACUUUUUUCCUAUUCUCUGGUUUGAUGACUAUGUACAGGGUUGGGAUAAUUAUGAUUAAAGACAGUUUUGACAAGUUUAUCUUCUUUUGAAAUUGACACUGAUUUUGAGAUA